rnacentral:rRNA from 1 species
GACAGAGGGUGCAAACGUUGUUCGGAAUUACUGGGCGUAAAGCGAGUGUAGGCGGUCUUCUAAGUCGGAUGUGAAAGCCCCGGGCUCAACCCGGGAACUGCGUCCGAUACUGGCAGGCUUGAAUCCGGGAGAGGGAUGCGGAAUUCCAGGUGUAGCGGUGAAAUGCGUAGAUAUCUGGAGGAACACCGGUGGCGAAGGCGGCAUCCUGGACCGGCAUUGACGCUGAGGCGCGAAAGCCAGGGGAGCAAACGGG